rnacentral:rRNA from 1 species
UACGUAGGGUGCAAGCGUUGCCCGGAUUUAUUGGGCGUAAAGGGCGCGUAGGCGGUCACGCACGUCCGUUGUGAAAUCGCCCGGCUCAACUGGGCGGGGUCAGCGGAUACGGUCGAGCUUGAGCAAGCUAGGGGGCAAUGGAAUUCCCGGUGUAGUGGUGGAAUGCGUAGAUGUCGGGAGGAACACCAGUGGCGUAGGCGGUUGCCUGGGGCUUUGCUGACGCUGAUGCGCGAAAGCGUGGGGAGCGAUCCGG